rnacentral:misc_RNA from 1 species
ACACAGUUAUGCAAAUGACAAUAAUCCAUACUUUCUUGGGGAAAUUGUAUGCUAUUGAACUUGUGACAAUGGGGGGGCACUUACCCUAGUUCUUCUGUUGUAGGCUACUAGACAACAUAAUGUGAGAUGAGAAAAUCUCUUGACAAAGCAGCAUCCUUGAGUUACUUCACUAAUGCUGCAGGGAAAAGUUGAAGAACUAAUUG